GACGUAGGGUGCAAGCGUUGUCCGGAUUUACUGGGCGUAAAGGGUGCGUAGGUGGUUUAUUAAGUUAUCUGUGAAAUCCCCGGGCUCAACCUGGGCAUGCCAGAUAAGACUGAUAGACUAGAGUAUGGGAGAGGGUAGUGGAAUUUCCGGUGUAGCGGUGAAAUGCGUAGAGAUCGGAAGGAACACCAGUGGCGAAGGCGGCUACCUGGCCUAAUACUGACACUGAGGCACGAAAGCGUGGGGAGCAAACAGGAUUAGAUACCCUGGUAGUCCACGCUGUAAACGAUGUCAACUAGCUGUUGGUUACAUUAAAGUAAUUAGUAGCGCAGCAAACGCGAUAAGUUGACCGCCUGGGGAGUACGGCCGCAAGGUUAAA
rnacentral:rRNA from 1 species